AAUUACAAAGAUCUGGGAAUCAUUAUUGAUUAUAGAUUAUCUUUUAAAAAUCAUAUUCAGAACCUUAUAAACAAAGUUCAUGUAGCAUUAGGUUUUAUUUGGCGAUAUUUAAGAGUUAAUAAAUAAUCCGAUUGUUUUAAAAUAUUAUAUGAUGCUUUUAUUAUAGCUAAGGUAUUAUAUGGUCUAUCAGUAUAUGCCAUGGCUCCUAUUUAUUUUCAAGAAAAAUUAGAAAUACUUUUAAAUCAUGCAAUUAACUCUGUCAAGAUUAUUGAAUUUACUGAGGGUGCAACCAUGUUAGAUAAAUAUAAGAUACUGAAAGUUACAGAUUUAUAGUCUCCAAUAGCAAAUUGAUUAUAAAAUAAUAGAUAAGUUGAUUAAUAAUGAAUCUAACAUUAUUUAUAUAGCUAUUGAUGCUCCAAAAUGUAAUUUAAGGAGAGAAGAAAGAGUAGAAAAGUUCUUAAUAUAAAAUUUCAUAGGUUGAAUAAUGCCUUUGCUUGAAGAACUUUUAUUAAUUACGAUAAAAAAGUUUAGCACGUUUUAUUGUUUUUUAUUUCACAUUACAAGUAAUGAUGAUUGGGGAGUGGUCUACCUGGCUAGAAACUUUCAGCCUAAUGGACUCAGAGAGAGAGAGAGAGAGAGAGAUUAUGUGUCACUUCUGAAAUCAGAUAUGACCAAUAAUGCUCUAGUGAUUGUUGUGUUGAGGUAUCAUUGUUGAUGCUAUAUUGAUUCUUAUUUAAAUUUUAUAAAGUUUUGAAUAAAUAUACAAAAUUUUUGUUUUAAUGUAUCAGUCUAUUCAUUUAAAAGCAUAUUAUAUUGUGUAUUCUUUGUGUAUAUUGUAAUAUUUAUAAAAAGCUUAUAAUAUGUUCUAACAGCUUUUGUUUCAGUUUCCAAGUUUAUAUUGAAUUAAUCAGCUAGAUCUUGUCAUAUUUUAUCAUUAUAUCUUUGAAGUUAAUGUUACUAUGUUGGUUUCAGUGUAUUUAUGCAUGGAUAUUUUUUCUGAUAUUUUUGUUACUGAUCCAUUAUAUUGAAUUGCUACAAUUUCUCCCCUUAUAUAGCAAUAUGUAUACAGGCAUACCUUGCAUUACAGUGCUUUGCUAAUAUGGCACUUCUCAAUUAUAUUCCAUGUUUUUAUUUAAUAUAACUCAAAAUGAAAAUCAUCUGCAAAAUAAUAAUACUUAGAAAAGAUAUAUAGGAUAAAAUAUAAAUUAAUAUGUAGAUGGGCCAAGUCUUGAUGCCAUCCUGAAAAACUGAAAGUGUAAGACCUAGAAUUGAAUCCGGAUCCUCCGAGAUGAUAAGCGAAUGCUUUAAAAUGCAGCCAUCUGGCCAAAUUUUUUGUCUAGUGUUAUUGUGCACUUAAUGAAUAAUAAUGUGAAUGUGAUUUUGGGUCUUUAUAUGCAUU
rnacentral:lncRNA from 1 species